GCGUUUUUGGUUCGACCAACAACCACCAGCAACCACCCGUGCCGACACCUGACCCGACCAGCGCCACCUCUGCUAGCCGCCGCUGUCCCCGCCGUGCCCUAGUCACCGCCGGCCAGCACUCCUCCUCUCCUUUUGGCGGAGAAUUCUUUGUGGGUGACUUUUGAAUUCGUUAAAGUGGCCUAUCAGUUUGUUUACACAAGUCUCUAAGGAUCAAUAAGCAUUGUCCAUCUGCAGGUUUGAAGAUGUUGCAUCAUUGGGAUCGGGAAUAGAGAGCUUGUAUUUAGUUUUGUUUUGAUAAGUUGACUUGGGUUUGUUUAAUCGGACUUUAAACUUGUCGUACUAUUUAUAUUUCCUUAUUUUCUUUUAUUGGUUUUUGGGAUUAAACCUGUAAUCGAUUAUUUAUAAACCUAAAGUUAGUUUUAUG